rnacentral:rRNA from 1 species
UACGAAGGGGGGCUAGCGUUGCUCGGAAUGACUGGGCGUAAAGGGCGCGUAGGCGGUUUGUACAGUCAGAUGUGAAAUUCCCGGGCUCAACCUGGGGGCUGCAUUUGAUACGUGCGGACUUGAGUGGGGAAGAGGGUCGUGGAAUUCCCAGUGUAGAGGUGAAAUUCGUAGAUAUUGGGAAGAACACCGGUGGCGAAGGCGGCGACCUGGUCCUUGACUGACGCUGAGGCGCGAAAGCGUGGGGAGCAAACAGGG